AUGUCUUUGAUCAGUGAUCGGUGUGUAACGUUCGGUCAUCGGUGUGUCGCGGUGAUAUCUUCUCCUGACGAGGUAUUGUGUCCAUCCAUGCAUUUGCCUCUGCAUCCGAGGCUUCAUGAUGACCAAUAUGCCAAAAGUUUCAUAAAAUUUGAAGCUAUGGUUGAUUUUUUUCUUCAAAAUUUGGGAGGUUUUAGGAUUUUUCUGAAAAGGAAAAUGACGCGUGUUGUCCUCCCAUUGGCCAGAACUGAAUUUCUAAUGAAAUAUAAAGUCAAAAGGCAAAUAUCACGGCAUUGGUGGAUUUUGAGAAAGUGUUUGACACUAUGGAACAUGAUGCUAUCCUGCAAAUUUUAA
rnacentral:rRNA from 1 species